ensembl:lncRNA
AUGCAGAAACUCCGCAAACUCCUCACACUCACACACACACUCUUGUCACCUGCUGGUCCCACACACUGUAGUGUCCUGCAGUUGCGCCUCUUGCUGGAAGACCUGAAGCGAACAGAGCUUUUGUUUCAAAGGUCAGUCUCUGCAUAUCUGUGUGUGAUGGAGGUAGGCAGGCAGUUGUUUUCAGUGAGUGACACACAGACGCAGAUGCAGCUGCAGACAGACCUGGCAGCCCUGCAGGAGGACUGGGAGCAAUGCCAGUGCAUGCUGGGAAAGAGAAAGACUCUCACAUCUGACAUCAUAAAGGUAAGAUGGAUUGAUUGGGUUUGAAAUAGGACCUUUGAAUGAACUAGCUCUUGUGUUUUAUGGCUUAGCUCUGUUGCAUUUACAAAGUAAGCUUAUGAUAAUGAUGAUAAUGUCACAAUAUUUAUCCUUAUCCUUAUGUUGAAGGUCAAAGGUCACAUGGAAAAUCCAUAAAGCUAGUGAGUGUGUUAGGCUUUUUCUAAAACAGGAUUGUCAUGAUCAUGGAAGCGAUCAUGCAACUUUUAAUUUGUGACUUCUAAACCUGGGAAAUUAAUUGUUAAAAAAUCAGGGAAAUGUCCAGAAAAAAAAACUGAUAUACAGUAUAUACAUGUACAAUUUUUUGAUGCUCAGCUGUAAAAUAUUUUAUCAUAGAAAUUUUCCAUUGUGAGUGAAAUCUCUAUCAUUUUUUUUCUUUUUUUCCCCUGUAAUUAUGAACAAAUAGAAAGUAUUUUCUUGAUGCCAGAUAUCACUGAUAUCUGCAUAUCAGCAUUUAUGAGGGUAACGUUUAUAUAACAAAACAGGCUACUGCAAAGUGAAAUUUACCCUUGGAAUUUAUGAUAUGAUUUUAUGAUUAGAUAAGAAAUAGCAGCUUAGAUAGUAAACAGCUGAUUAUGGAUUGUCAAUCUUAUGAACACCUGUUCAGAGAUGCUUCAGAGAACAAACACUAUUAACUGUCUGUCCGUGUAUAGACCUGUCUAAAACUUCACUGGGAAUAAACUCUGCCAUUAUAUACUCCCA